rnacentral:rRNA from 1 species
GAAUUCGCCCUUAGAGUUUGAUCCUGGCUCAGGAUGAACGCUGGCGGCGUGCCUAACACAUGCAAGUCGAACGGAGUUCUUAAGGAAUGCGACUUCGGUCAAAUGACUUUUGAACUUAGUGGCGGACGGGUGAGUAACGCGUGAGCAACCUGCCUUUCAGAGGGGGAUAACAUUUGGAAACAGAUGCUAAUACCGCAUAAGAUUACAGUACCGCAUGAUACAGUGAUCAAAGGAGCAAUCCGCUGAAAGAUGGGCUCGCGUCCGAUUAGAUAGUUGGUGAGGUAACGGCUCACCAAGUCGACGAUCGGUAGCCGGACUGAGAGGUUGAACGGCCACAUUGGGACUGAGACACGGCCCAGACUCCUACGGGAGGCAGCAGUGGGGAAUAUUGCACAAUGGGCGAAAGCCUGAUGCAGCAACGCCGCGUGAGGGAAGACGGUUUUCGGAUUGUAAACCUCUGUUUUCGGUGACGAACAAAUGACGGUAACCGAGUAGGAAGCCACGGCUAACUACGUGCCAGCAGCCGCGGUAAUACGUAGGUGGCAAGCGUUAUCCGGAAUUACUGGGUGUAAAGGGAGCGCAGGCGGGAAGACAAGUUGGAAGUGAAAUCUAUGGGCUCAACCCAUAAACUGCUUUCAAAACUGUUUUUCUUGAGUAGUGCAGAGGUAGGCGGAAUUCCCGGUGUAGCGGUGGAAUGCGUAGAUAUCGGGAGGAACACCAGUGGCGAAGGCGGCCUACUGGGCACCAACUGACGCUGAGGCUCGAAAGUGUGGGUAGCAAACAGGAUUAGAUACCCUGGUAGUCCACACCGUAAACGAUG